rnacentral:rRNA from 1 species
AGUGAACGCUGGCGGUAGGCCUAACACAUGCAAGUCGAACGGCAGCACAGUAAGAGCUUGCUCUUACGGGUGGCGAGUGGCGGACGGGUGAGGAAUACAUCGGAAUCUACUUUUUCGUGGGGGAUAACGUAGGGAAACUUACGCUAAUACCGCAUACGACCUACGGGUGAAAGCAGGGGAUCUUCGGACCUUGCGCGAUUGAAUGAGCCGAUGUCGGAUUAGCUAGUUGGCGGGGUAAAGGUCCACCAAGGCGACGAUCCGUGGCUGGUCUGAGAGGAUGAUCAGCCACACUGGGACUGAGACACGGUCCAGACUCCUACGGGAGGCAGCAGUGGGGAAUAUUGGACAAUGGGCGCAAGCCUGAUCCAGCCAUACCGCGUGGGUGAAGAAGGCCUUCGGGUUGUAAAGCCCUUUUGUUGGGAAAGAAAAGCAGCAGGUUAAUACCCCGCUGUUCUGACGGUACCCAAAGAAUAAGCACCGGCUAACUUCGUG